rnacentral:rRNA from 1 species
GACGAACGCUGGCGGCGUGCUUAACACAUGCGAGUCGAACGGAAAGGCCCCCUUGUGGGGUACUCGAGUGGCGAACGGGUGAGUAACACGUGAGUAACCUACCCUUGACUUUGGGAUAACUUCAGGAAACUGGGGCUAAUACCGGAUAGGAGCUCCUGCUGCAUGGUGGGGGUUGGAAAGUUUCGGCGGUUGGGGAUGGACUCGCGGCUUAUCAGCUUGUUGGUGGGGUAGUGGCUCACCAAGGCUUUGACGGGUAGCCGGCCUGAGAGGGUGACCGGCCAAGGCGGGAGGGAGAGCCGUCGCAGGCGAAGAGGGGAGGCAGAGGUGGGUAAUAUGACAGAGGGGGCGGAGGCCGGACGAAGGAACGCCGGGGGCGGGGUGCGGGGUUGCGGGUUGGAAACCGCCGUGGUGUGUGACGAGGGGUGAGUGGCGGUAGUGGGAAAAGAAGCACCGGAUAAUUCCGUGCCAGCAGCCGCGGAAAUAAUCGGAAGUGCACACUUCUGAAC